rnacentral:rRNA from 1 species
AUUGAACGCUGGCGGCAUGCUUUACACAUGCAAGUCGAACGGUAACAGGUUAAGCUGACGAGUGGCGAACGGGUGAGCAAUGCAUCGGAACGUGCCCGAUCGUGGGGGAUAACGCAGCGAAAGCUGCGCUAAUACCGCAUACGAUCUGAGGAUGAAAGCGGGGGACCGUACGGCCUCGCGCGAUCGGAACGGCCGAUGUCAGAUUAGGUAGUUGGUGGGGUAAAGGCUCACCAAGCCGACGAUCGGUAGCUGGUCUGAGAGGACGACCAGCCACACUGGGACUGAGACACGGCCCAGACUCCUACGGGAGGCAGCAGUGGGGAAUUUUGGACAAUGGGCGAAAGCCUGAUCCAGCAAUGCCGCGUGCAGGAAGAAGGCCUUCGGGUUGUAAACUGCUUUUGUACGGAGCGAAAAGGCUCUCUCUAAUACAGGGGGCUCAUGACGGUACCGUAAGAAUAAGCACCGGCUAACUACGUGCCAGCAGCCGCCGUAA